ensembl:lncRNA
GCUGUGGGCAGCAGUGAAGACCCAGCAUAACCAAAAAAAAAGGGUAUAGACAACCGGACCUGACUGGUCACUGUCCGUGUGGCCCUUGAUCACCCCUGAGCAGCCAGGGUGUCAGGUGUCUCCCUGAGAAGUCAUUUGCCUCCUCUCCACAGUCCUCUUGAGAAGAAAGUCAUGAAGCACAACCUACACUUAAGGAAUUGUGCUUCCCCUUUUUAAUUUUUAAGGUCAUAAAAUGGUAUAAAAAUCCAAUUUUAAAUCAGUUGACAUGGAGGCAAAACAAAAAGCCAUUGUUAACAGCCUCUUGCGUUUCCUUCCUGGAAUUUUUUUCAAGGCAUUUUCAAGUCACUAUUUUCAUCUCCACCCUGCCACCCACUCCUCACCUUUUUUUUUUUUUUUCCUUUUUAAAAGGGGGGAUCAUAUUUGACUUCACGGAAUCUAUCAUUUUGAAAUCAUGCCACUAAAGAAGAUAAAGCAACGUGACUGUUUAAUAACAUGAUCUGACCUGUGGAGCAUUUCAAAAGCACCUGAAGCUUUUUCAGCAAACACUGCCUCCCUUUUCAUUUCCUCUAUCAGCGCUGAAAAUAGUUGGAGUUUUUUUUUUUUCUCUCUCUUAAUUCCAUGCAUUAAAAAAAAGAGAUUCUUCUCGACAGAAGGUGUUAAUUCAGGCACUAAAUCUGGAACAUUCUAAUCACUGUGAAGUUUUGUGUGUCUCAUCUUUGGCAGAAAACGUGUGAAGAUGAGAGCUUAUUCCUUACACCUUACAGCUCCUGAAGCGGCUCUGCAGAAGCUCAUCACUUACACCCUCCCACACUUGAGUCACCUCCCACCUCCUGACCUCGUGUUCCCAGCUUCAGGGUUUCCAGAAGCCCACCUAGUUCCCUCUCAUCUUGCAGGAGGGGCUGCCUUAGCUGAUGCACCCCAAAUCUGCCUUCUCCUCCCAAGCGUCUCCCCUGUACAAUUUUGAACUGCAGAAGUCACAAGUGAAUUCCUCUGUAUUCGUUUCCUGUGGCUGCUUUAACGAACCACCACCAACUUACACACAAAUUCACUCUUCCACUGUUCUGGAUAUCAAGAGGCUGAAGUCAGGAAGUCCUAAGCGGAAGGACCCUGUGAUCACAUUGACCUCACCUGGAUGACCAGGAGACGCCUCAUCUCAAGGGCUUUAACUGAACACACCUGCCAAGCCCUUCUGGCCUCAUAAGGCAAUGUGACAGGAGUCAUCCUGAAAGAAGAACAGAGAGAGAAAAGGAGGGAAAAGGAAAAAAAGAAUGACACGGGGAGACCAAGCUUCGCUUCCUGCGUGUCAACACUAUCGGCACUUCAUCUGGCAAUCCAGGCCUUCUGUUUGCGCUCAAUCGACCUGCACCUGUUUACACUCUUUUGCAAGCCAUCUGCAACCUUUUCCACCUGGGUUUGAUCUGUCCCUGCCAAUGAAUUGUAAACUAGGACAAAACAACAAACAAACCAAGGGACACUGGUUCGAUCCCUGGUCUGGGAGGAUCCCACGUGCCUCUCAGCAACCGAGUCCGUGAGCCACAACUACUGAAG